rnacentral:rRNA from 1 species
CACGUAGGGGGCGAGCGUUGUCCGGAUUCAUUGGGCGUAAAGGGCGCGCAGGCGGCUCGGAAAGUCGGGUGUGAAAACUCGGGGCUCAACCCCGGGCGUGCAUCCGAUACUGCCGGGCUUGAGGCAGGUAGGGGAGAUCGGAAUUCCUGGUGUAGCGGUGAAAUGCGCAGAUAUCAGGAGGAACACCGGUGGCGAAGGCGGAUCUCUGGGCCUGUCCUGACGCUGAGGCGCGAAAGCCUAGGGGAGCGAACAGG